rnacentral:rRNA from 1 species
AUUGAACGCUGGCGGCGUGCUUAAGACAUGCAAGUCGAACGGAGUGUGUAGCAAUACUCACUAAGUGGCGAAUGGGUGAGUAACACGUAGGUGACCUGCCCUGAAGUGCGGAAUAACAGUCCGAAAGGAUUGCUAAUACCGCACGUGGUCCCGGGCGUUAGAGAACCGGGUCGUAAAGACAGUAAUGCGCUUCAGGAGGGGCCGUGCGGUCCAUCAGCUAGUUGGUAGGGUAAG